AAGAUUCGACCUUCGGGUCUAUCUUCUCUUCAGCUGUGCGCUUCGGCUGCACGCUGUUGAACUUCACACACCUGUGCACACUUCGGUUGUGGUUGGUUAAUUCUGGCCACUUCCGCUUUUACAUUUAACAACCAAGUCUAGAAUGUCUAAUACUAUAAAAUUAA
rnacentral:misc_RNA from 2 species